ACUAACCAAACAUGAGAAAGAAAUUCAAAAUCUACUUGUUUUUUAAGAAAACAUUUUCUAGGAAAAUAUUUUCCAUGGAAAACAUUUUCCUUCAUACCAAACACACCCUAUGUUUGAUAUCAUUUUCUUGUAGAAACUCGAUUGCUCCCCUUUUAAAAUGUAAUGAUCUUUUCCUAUUUUGACGUGAAUACUUGUGCUUUCCCAAAGCUGUAAGUUAAGUUAGUUUAAAUUUGAAAUGUUUAAUUCUCUCAAACUUUUGCAUUAAUUGUACAUAGCGUAAUUUUCCUUCCAUUUCAUCAUUGAAUCUUUGUUUGUUUCAAUUAGAAUUGAACAUGAGGAACUUAGUGUACUCAUCUAACUUAUCUAGUAACAUUUGUUUUUUUCUAAUCCUCUUCUUUUAUUUAUUUCACAUGUACACUCGGGAGCGCGUUUGGACUUAGUAUAUAACUCCAUCUCUGUCCAAAUCAGAGAAGAUUUUCAGAUAUGUCAAGGGAUUCAGAAAACAAGGUACGUACAUAUAAAUAACAUACGCAAAAAUGGUAUAAAUUCUAUAUUUUAGUUGUUUCUCAUAGAUAACUUAUUAUUUUCACAUUAAUUUUCUCAUAUACACUAUCACUUUAACAGAUGAUACUUAUUUUAUUUUUGUAAUUUAUAAAUUUGUACACUCUAAUAUACACAUUAUUUUACCAUAUAUUCAUAGCCAACAAUUAUCUUAUUUGUUUUAUUUUCCUUUACAUCUCACUUCUAUAUAUAAAUAAAACGACAAAUUUUUAUAUCUCUUAAACUCAACAUUAUUUAGAUACAAAUUUCUAUACUUGUCAACAUAUAAAUUUAUCAUACAUAUUAGUACGUUUAUUUAUUUAUUUAUUUAUUUUACAGUGUGAUAAACAUACUAAUAUUAUUUUCUAUAAUGGACUUCUAUAUGUCGUACCUUAUGUUUUACUCUUUUCCUAAAACUAAUAAAAUUUACUCACAAUUCAUUUUAAAGCGAAUAAAAAGUUUUCCUUAUUAUAUUUUCCUAAAUUGAGUUUAAGGACUAUCUUCAAAUAGGCGCUGAGGGGUGCUUAACACCUUCCCCACGAGUAACCAAAACCCUUACUCAGAAUCUCACUGGUUUUUCAAAUAAAAAACAGAGUUUACAUUUAUAUAAAAAAUGGUUUUCCUAAUAUUUUCCUCAAAAUUUAGGUGUCGACUCUAAAACAAACAAUUUUUCAAAAGUCAGAGUGUCAGUCAUUUUAUGUUGUGAACUGUUUUCGACUUGUUCGAAAAUAGAGUGCGACAAUCUAGAUAUGCUCCAUCCUUAGUGUCUAACCCUAGCGAUGAGAUGAGUAGGAUUGUGAUCGGGGGUCGCCGACCUAGUGAUAGAAUAAUGUCGUACAGCCAUGUUGUAUGAUGAUAUGACCCUAUCUAGACUCAUGGUUUAUACUCAAUCAAUUGAGGAGUCUAAACAUGGUAGGAUUACUAGAAACUUGUAAAGAAGUGGUUCAAGUGAUCAAAGUCAACCUAGGUUCAAGAAGAAGGUUUCAACUCAAGAUAAACCUAGGAGUGCUAAGGUGAAAUUUGAAAAGAUAGGUGAUUCUUAAAAUGGCAAGCCUACAUGUGCUACUUGUAGAAAGAGGCACUAUGGGGAAUGCCUAUUGGGUACCGCGGGUGGUUUUGGAUGUGGUAAAGAUUGACACAAAGUGAGGGUUUGUCCUACUAGAAAUUGUAAGCAAGUUGGUCCUAAUGCUCCGAAAGGUGAUGCUCCAAAGAAGAAUCGUUUCUAUGCACUACGGACUAAAGGAGCAAAGCCGGAUGAGGGUGAUGAUGAUGGUAAGUUCUUGUAUUUCUUUAGGGUUAUGAGUUCCUUCUAUGUGGGGGACUAUAGUUAGUAGAUGGGCUAGAUUGUUAUAGAAGAAUGUUGUAUGUGCAUAAUGUUUAGGUGUCUUGUUGGAAUUGAAUUUGCAGUGAUUCCUAGCAUUGUGCAUUUCAUGAUGUUACUAUUAUGUUGUAAGAUGUGUUUAUAUGGUUUUAUCUUUCAUAUUAGCAUGUUUCGAUAAUCAAUUACCUAAAAUUUGCAUUUUUGAAUAAUGUGCCAUAAUUCACUGUAAAGCUACCAGUUCACUGUAACAUUUUUGAGAAAUUAACUAAAUCAUUCUUUGGUUGAAAAUUGUUGUAAUGUGGUUAGAACUAAAGUAUAUGAACAUGAUGGUGAAUAUAAAAGGAUUUUGUGCUAUUUGGAAUGAAGAAUGUGAGUCUUAUGGCAUAAUGAGUUGUAUAAUUUCUUUUAGCUUCUUGUUGUGUUGUGAAUCACCUAAUUAUGUCAAAUUGAUAUUUCUUAUAGUUGUUUGUAUUGUAUAAUGUGUUUUAUGGUAUGGUUAUGAGUUUCUAGUUGAAUCUCUUGGAAGUGUUCGUAGAGUGACAAGUGUCAUUCGUGGAUGAAUAUUGUCCAAGUGGGGGAGAUUGUUAUACCUCUUAAACGACCUAGGAGAAAAUAUAGUCUAAUAUGUUUUAUCAUGAGGGUAAGGUCCUAAAAUGGUUUAUAAUGUGGUAAUGAGGUAGUGUCUAAAGUAUUAGGUGAAUUGAAAGUCAAACAUCAAGGGACGACCAAGACGUUCGACUACUAGUCACUUACGUGCCUCAUGUGUGUUUUAUGUGUUUAUGAGUGUUUAAUGAGCUUAAAAGAUCCUUAUAUGAGUUAUUAUAAUGUUAUAGGCGGUGUGUGGAGUUUCAUGAAGUUUGGAGGUCAAACAUCCAUGACAUUCGAAAGGUUUGCCUUAAAACGACUUGUGCGUCUCAACAUGUUUGGUCGAGUUUUAUGUGUUCUUUUUUUGAUGAAAUUGAUGUGAGGGGUCCUAGCUCGUAUACAAUCAUAUUUGGUUUGGAAAUAUCCCGGAAAACAUCCCCAAAAACCAACCAAGGGUCCUUGAGGAAGGACACGUCUUUGAUCCAAAGGCUGUCAAGACCAGCCCCAAUCGACUAAGGCGAUCAACGACCUGUAGGCUAGUAUCCCCGUCAUUGGAAGGCGUCCGUCAAAACGUAGCCAGGGAGCUCAAGCUCCCAAUGGACAGUCUCAGUGCAAAAUGACAGCCAGCCAGGACGGUCCAUUUACCGUUUGAUGCCCCGUCGGUGAGCUUCGUCAAUGGUGAAUUGGUAAAUUCACCCUACGCCAAAUAAGAGUUUGGGAGGUUUACUAAGGGUAUUAGGUAUUUUAAGCGGGUUUAUAAGUCCUAAUUACCAAGAUGAACUCAUUCUUCAAAAAUCAAAAUCCCAAUUCUCAAGAACUACAUUGAAGCUAAAACUCAAGGAAGAUCUUGGAUUGAAGAUUUGAUUGGUUAUUCUAAUAAAUUUCGUAGUUUAUCUUCAUUGAGGUAUGGUUUUUAAUCCAUGAAACUCUAUUCAUAAAGGAGCCCAAAAUUCAAAGAGAUUUCUAAAGUUUUCUAAAGAUGAACUUGUCCAAUUUUAACAUAUAUCCUUGGGUUUGUGCAUUAAAGGCUUUAAAUCAUUGUAUAUUUAUUAAAUUGUUGUUAAUUAUAUGAUUUUAACAUAAUUAACCUAUGAACCCAUGUAAUUCAUGAUCCCUAGUUUUCUCUACUUUAAGGUUGACUUGAUAUUGUCUUAAUGCUUUUGUGAAUUCUUGUGUAGUUUUCUAUGGGAUACUGAAUGAUGAAAGAAUUGUAUUCAGUUGAUGUAUAGGCUGUCUUAGAUUGAUAAAUCUAUAUUGAAUUGACUUAUAUUCAUGGAGUAUUAUGGAUUUUGUAUUGGAUUGAUGAUCAUGGCCAUGGGUAAGGGCCUUUUAGUAUUGAAUUGGAUGAGUUACCUAUGGAUGAAGUAAUGAGAAUGGAUUGGUGGUACUCUGCCCUAA